CCUACGGGUGGCAGCAGUGAGGAAUAUUGGUCAAUGGGAGAGAUCCUGAACCAGCCAUGCCGCGUGCAGGAAGACGGCUCUAUGAGUUGUAAACUGCUUUUGUACGAGGGUAAACGCAGAUACGUGGAUCUGUCUGAAAGUAUCGUACGAAUAAGGAUCGGCUAACUCCGUGCCAGCAGCCGCGGUAAUACGGAGGAUUCAAGCGUUAUCCGGAUUUAAUGGGUUUAAAGGGUGCGUAGGCGGGCGGAUAAGUUAGAGGUGAAAUCCCGAGGCUCAACUUCGGAAUUGCCUUUGAUACUGUUCGGCUAGAGAGUAGUUGCGGUAGGCGGAAUGUAUGGUGUAGCGGUGAAAUGCUUAGAGAUCAGACAGAACACCGAUUGCGAAGGCGGCUUACCAAGCUACUUCUGACGUUGAGGCACGAAAGCGUGGGGAGCAAACAGGAUUAGAUACCCUUGUAGUC
rnacentral:rRNA from 1 species